UGUUCUACCUGGCAGGGGAGAUACCAUGAUCACGAAGGUAGUUUUCCCAGAGUGAGGUUCAUCCAUUGCACUGUGGGUGUGCUGACCCCUGCGAUUUCCCCAAAUGCGGGAAACUCGACUUCAUAAUUUGUGGAAGUGGGGGAUUGUGUUUGCGCUCUCCCCUU
rnacentral:snRNA from 1 species